ACUGAGGACACGACAGUCUAUCCACUGGACAUGGUCAACCCGGCCAAAACGCGCCGUUUGCACCAGUGCCCAUGGUGAUCAUGCUGGCGUCACGCACAUUGCAAGCUCUGGCUCGGUCCGGCCACUGUGCUCGUCUCCUCCCUCCUCGUCUCGAUGUCCAACCAUGUCCUGGAGCUUCCCCGUGAUCGACUACAUCUCCCUGCGUCGCUGUCCCGUCAUGGUUCGCCUUAAAUGCGUUGCAAACACCAUGCAUGUGCCAUGCCCAGCCUCUGUCCACCACUAUAGCACUGCACAAGCUCGCUAGUGUUGCUCUAGAGCCCUCCCUCGGCUAUUUAAGGGUGCCCCGAGCCCUCCCGCAACUCACUCACUCCUUCCCCGCCUCUCUAUCCCACUGGAAUCGCCUCACCUCGCUUCUGUUCGCCAUGGCCGCUUCGGUCUCUCCUUGGUCCCGGUGUGCCUAGCCCCUCUGCUCUCCUCCCGAGCUGUCCACGAGCUUCCCCUCGUCCCCGCGGUUCGCCCCAACCCCUUGCCCCUCGCCGGUGCCGCGUUCGUCCGGCCGCCGCGCGAUCCUUUCGGUUGCCUCCCUGUCUCGCCCAUCCCGACCCCCUCACUCCCUCUAGUCACCACCACCAGCUUCCUCACCCUCCGGCGACUCUCCCCACGCUCUUCUCCUGCCACCGGAGCCACCAGGGCCGUCGUCCCCGCGUGCAACGGCCGGCGCCCGCCCCUCUGUUCCCCUCGAAGUUCCGCUUCUUCUCGUCCUCCCCGGCGUCCAGUUCCUCUCUAAACGGGUGCGGCACGCCACCCUGAAGCCGCCGAUGCUCUCGCCUUGGCCUGGAGUGGCCGGAGUCGGCGGGGCCAGCGCCGGCAGCGCCCCUGUCUUCCUCCCCUGCUUUCUGUCGUGGCCAGGCACGGGAGGAAGAAGAAGACAGGGGAAGGAGAGAGAAGGAUAAGGUGGGCCCCACAAGUCAUCCUCUGCCCGUUGACCCCACCACUGCCAUGUCAUGAUUUGUUUGCUGAAGAAAUAUUCACAGAUUGGUCCUUCUUCUUCCACACCUCAUAACUCCGCAACCGUAACUCCGAUUGAGCCCCUCCGAGAAAGAACCGCCCGACGUUUCGUUCCGCGGCUUCACCGCACUUCUUCCCGGAGUCUCCGUCACCCCCAGGCAAGC